UGGGGAAUAUUGGACAAUGGGCGCAAGCCUGAUCCAGCCAUACCGCGUGGGUGAAGAAGGCCUUCGGGUUGUAAAGCCCUUUUGUUGGGAAAGAAAUCCAGCUGGUUAAUACCCGGUUGGGAUGACGGUACCCAAAGAAUAAGCACCGGCUAACUUCGUGCCAGCAGCCGCGGUAAUACGAAGGGUGCAAGCGUUACUCGGAAUUACUGGGCGUAAAGCGUGCGUAGGUGGUCGUUUAAGUCCGUUGUGAAAGCCCUGGGCUCAACCUGGGAACUGCAGUGGAUACUGGGCGACUAGAAUGUGGUAGAGGGUAGCGGAAUUCCUGGUGUAGCAGUGAAAUGCGUAGAGAUCAGGAGGAACAUCCAUGGCGAAGGCAGCUACCUGGACCAACAUUGACACUGAGGCACGAAAGCGUGGGGAGCAAACA
rnacentral:rRNA from 1 species